rfam:Myotis lucifugus cont2.10377, whole genome shotgun sequence.
GGUGGUUCUUGGGUGAUGCACCCCAGAAUAGGGCUCCCUCCUCUCUGGAUCCGGGAUGAGUCACCCAAGAACCUCU